rnacentral:rRNA from 1 species
GAAUUUUCCACAAUGGGCGCAAGCCUGAUGGAGCAACGCCGCGUGGGGGAUGACGCACUUCGGUGUGUAAACCCCUUUUCGAGGGGACGAAGGCAAUGACGGUACCCUCGGAAUAAGGAUCGGCUAACUACGUGCCAGCAGCCGCGGUAAGACGUAGGAUCCGAGCGUUGUCCGGAGUUACUGGGCGUAAAGCGCGCGCAGGCGGACACGCGCAUCGGCGGUGAAAGCCCCCCGCUCAACGGGGGAGGGUCCGUCGAGAUGGCGUGUCUGGAGGCAGGGAGAGGCCAGUGGAAUUCCGGGUGUAGUGGUGAAAUGCGUAGAGACCCGGAGGAACACCAGUGGCGAAGGCGGCUGGCUGGACCUGACCUGACGCUGAGGCGCGAAGGCGUGGGGAGCGAACGGG